UACCAAUGCCACAGGGCAUUGAUUGGGGACAUUGCCCUGUUUAGGGUGCCAUCUUUUGGAUGGAAUGUUAAACAGGUGUCCUGACUAUGUGGUCAAUAAAGAUCCCAUGGCACUUAUCAUAAGAGUAGGGGUAUUAACCCUGAUGUCCUGGCUAAAUUCCCAAUCUGACCAUCAUGGUCUACUAAUCAUCCUCAGCUUCCAAUUGGCUCUUUCAUCCCCCUGUAACUAUUCCCCAGGUCAUUGCUGUAAAUGAGAACAUGUUCUCAGUCAACUUACCUGGUGAAAUAAGGGUUAAAUUAAAAAAAUAUCAUUGUCCUUCCUGUACCUCUCAGAAUAUGACAGCUACUCCAGCAGAUGAUCUCAGUAGUGAAAUACUGCUCUAACGACAGGAGAGAAGGUGAGUAAAUACUGCUUUUGUGGUCUUAUGAGAAGAACGAUAGUUUCAAGAAUUACACAAAUCUUGGUACAAACUCAAGAGACACCAAGGCUUUUGAGUGACUGAUUGCUCCUCUCAUCUGUGCAUUAUAUGUUCCAGUAGGAACAUUCAACAUUUCCUCAGCAUCUUAUAUGGCUCUAUCCCUGCCUUCCUUCGACAUAUCAGAGAGCCAGAACAUCUUAGUGGCUGUUCUGUAUGCCUGAAUAAGUCAUUCACUGUGAUUUUUUUCAUUUGUAUAUACUGUCAUGUCUUUUAUCAAUAUCUUAACCCAUAAAAUGUUAUUGUGGAACAAAUGCUGUAGUUAACAACCUCAACCCAGCUAUGACAAAUAGUCUGCUCAUCUUUUCCCUAUCUCCACCUUAGCUUUAGGUGUUGAAGUGGAAGGACUGCAGGUAUUUUAUGUCUGCAUCAGCUUUUUUAUUGUUUCCAGGAAGUAGAGGGACAGACACCCCCAGGUGCAAGCGUGUCAGCACACAGGUUGAGGAGGGAGACAAAAACACACAUAAAGGGAGGCUGACUGAUGAGUGAUGACUUCUACAGCCAAACUGUGCAAGUUGGCUCCCAUACAUACCAUGCAGGUCUGCUGCUGCGCCUGAUGCACUACAGAUGCGCCUGAUGCACUACAGAUGCAGCAGACAGAGGUCACGGGUCAGAUCUGGGAAGACUAGAUACAUUUGUUUAUCUGCCUGUCCUGACCCUGAGCCUGCCUGCCGUUCUGUCCCUGUUUGACCCUGCCUUGGACUACGAACUGCCCUUUGCCUGCCCUUUUGUACAAUAAAAAUUGACUGUCGAACUAUCACACCUCCUGUGUCUGCAUCUGAGUUGUGAUAUAGAUGGCUUCCUUUCAUUGAUCCCUGUAUUCUGAACCCGUUCUCUCAAUGUAUUCUAGUCUGUUAACAAAAUUUGAAUUAAAGGUACACCAUUAUUAAAGGGAUGGCUUAAGAUAAAUGUACUGAAAACCCUACUGAAUGAAAACUCCACGAGAAUCUUUUGGCUAGCAAGUGGAAGGGUAUUCCGUGGUUGAAUUAAAUCUAUUCAGCGCACGCAAGGGAACCACGCCUACAAAGCCCAUUACGCACCUGCAAAAUCUAAGUCUGAAUAACAACUACUGACAAGUGAUUAGGAAAGGCUCAUGUAGGUUAGGUGUCUGUUUCCUACGCCUGAAUCGUGCCCAUUAUGCAUUUUUCAGCAAAUGUUGUCAUUUCUAGAUCUUCCUCUGUUAAAAGCCAUUGCAAUAUAUUAGUUUCCACAUAAUCUAGUCUUUAGCUGUCUAUUGAAAGGUAUUUUGUUAGAGAUUUGCAUUAGUGAUAGCUUGGAUAAGCAUGUCAGGACUCUGAUUAUUUAUGAUUCAUAAUGCAACAGCUCACCCAGAUCAGAGUAGAAGACUCUAUAUUUAUCUAGUCGUAUUCUGUGGAUUAUCUGCAGUCACCAUUCAAGGUAGGUUCUGUUGACAUACUCUGACUGUAUUGGACAGCAAUUUCCCCUCUCAUGAAUAACAAAUAAUUACUGUAUCUCUUUCACCCACUUAUCAUUUGUGCAAUGUGUACUAACAUUUGGGAAGAUGCAACAUGAAUGUUUGAUAAAAUGCUAUAUUCCAAAUCGCAACUCAGGCUGUUUCUAUGACAACGAAGACGAAGAUGGGCAUGAUAUCAA